rnacentral:rRNA from 1 species
CACGUAGGGUGCGAGCGUUGUCCGGAAUUAUUGGGCGUAAAGAGCUCGUAGGCGGUCCGUCACGUCGGAUGUGAAAUUCCAGGGCUCAACCCUGGACCUGCAUUCGAUACGGGCGGACUAGAGUUCGGUAGGGGAGACUGGAAUUCCUGGUGUAGCGGUGAAAUGCGCAGAUAUCAGGAGGAACACCGGUGGCGAAGGCGGGUCACUGGACCGGAACUGACGCUGAGGCGCGAAAGCGUGGGGAGCAAACAGG